rnacentral:rRNA from 1 species
AGAGUUUGAUCCUGGCUCAGGACGAACGCUGGCGGCGCGCCUAACACAUGCAAGUCGAACGGAGUUGAGAGGAGCUUGCUUUUCUCAACUUAGUGGCGAACGGGUGAGUAACGCGUGAGUAACCUGCCCUGGAGUGGGGGACAACAGUUGGAAACGACUGCUAAUACCGCAUAAGCCCACGGUACCGCAUGGUACUGGGGGAAAAGGAUUUAUUCGCUUCAGGAUGGACUCGCGUCCAAUUAGCUAGUUGGUGAGGUAACGGCCCACCAAGGCGACGAUUGGUAGCCGGACUGAGAGGUUGAUCGGCCACAUUGGGACUGAGACACGGCCCAGACUCCUACGGGAGGCAGCAGUGGGGGAUAUUGCACAAUGGGGGAAACCCUGAUGCAGCGACGCCGCGUGGAGGAAGAAGGUUUUCGGAUUGUAAACUCCUGUCGUUAGGGACGAUAAUGACGGUACCUAACAAGAAAGCACCGGCUAACUACGUGCCAGCAGCCGCGGUAAAACGUAGGGUGCAAGCGUUGUCCGGAAUUACUGGGUGUAAAGGGAGCGCAGGCGGACCGGCAAGUUGGAAGUGAAAACUAUGGGCUCAACCCAUAAAUUGCUUUCAAAACUGCUGGCCUUAGUAGUGCAGAGGUAGGUGGAAUUCCCGGUGUAGCGGUGGAAUGCGUAGAUAUCGGGAGGAACACCAGUGGCGAAGGCGACCUACUGGGCACCAACUGACGCUGAGGCUCGAAAGCAUGGGUAGCAAACAGAAUUAGAUCCCCUGGUAGUCCAUGCCGUAAACGAUGAUUACUAGGUGUUGGAGGAUUGACCCCUUCAGUGCCGCAGUUAACACAAUAAGUAAUCCACCUGGGGAGUACGACCGCAAGGUUGAAACUCAAAGGAAUUGACGGGGGCCCGCACAAGCAGUGGAGUAUGUGGUUUAAUUCGAAGCAACGCGAAGAACCUUACCAGGUCUUGACAUCCGAUGCAUAGUGCAGAGAUGCAUGAAGUCCUUCGGGACAUCGAGACAGGUGGUGCAUGGUUGUCGUCAGCUCGUGUCGUGAGAUGUUGGGUUAAGUCCCGCAACGAGCGCAACCCUUAUUGUCAGUAGCCAGCAGGUGAAGCUGGGCACUCUGAUGAGACUGCCGGGGAUAACCCGGAGGAAGGUGGGGAUGACGUCAAAUCAUCAUGCCCCUUAUGAGCAGGGCUACACACGUGCUACAAUGGCGUAAACAGAGGGAGGCGAAGGAGUGAUCCGGAGCAAAUCUCAAAAAUAACGUCUCAGUUCGGAUUGUAGUCUGCAACUCGACUACAUGAAGCUGGAAUCGCUAGUAAUCGCAGAUCAGAAUGCUGCGGUGAAUACGUUCCCGGGUCUUGCACACACCGCCCGUCA